rnacentral:rRNA from 1 species
UUACCGGCUUGACAUAAAAGAAAUGGUAAGACAGGUGGUGCAUGGCUGUCGUCAGCUCGUGUCGUGAGAUGUUGGGUUAAGUCCNGCAACGAGCGCANCCCUGUCUAUGUUGCCAGCAUAUGGGACUCAUAGAGACUGCCGGUGAUAACCGGAGGAAGGUGGGGAUGACGUCAAGUCAUCAUGCCCCUUAUGCCGGGCUGCACGCAUGCUACAAUGGAGUACACGAGGCACCGCGAGGGGAGCAAUCUCUAAACUGUCUCAGUUCGGAUAGGAGUCUGCAACUCGACUCCUUGAAGUUGGAGUCGCUAGUAAUCGCAAUCAGCAAGUGCGGUGAAUACGUUCUCGGGGUUUGUACACACCGCCCGUCAAGNCACGGAAGUCGGAAACGGAA